rfam:Rattus norvegicus chromosome 15, whole genome shotgun sequence.
GGGGAUUUAGCUCAGUGGUAGAGAGCUUGCCUAGCAAGCGCAAGGCCCUGGGUUCGAUCCCCAGCUCCG